rnacentral:rRNA from 1 species
AUGCUUGUCGAGACAAACAAGCAUGAACAAUACUAUAUUGUUUACAAGCUUCUUAAGUUGGUAUUAAUUCUGCGAGUAGCUACUGCUAGUGUUGAAAGGGUGUUCUCUUCAAUGAACUAUGUGAAGAAUAAGCUAAGGAGCAAAAUGGGUGAUGAUUACUUAAACAAUUGUUUGGUUACAUUUGUUGAGAGGGAAUUCUUCAAUCAAGUAAAGGAUGAGGAUGUCAUCAAUCUCUUCCAAAAAGGCGAUCGCAAAGUUAUAUUGUAA